GACGAACGCUGGCGGCGUGCUUAACACAUGCAAGUCGAACGGAAAGGCCCCUUUUGGGGUACUCGAGUGGCGAACGGGUGUGUAACACGUGAGUAACCUGCCCUUGACUUCGGGAUAACUUCAGGAAACUGGGGCUAAUACCGGAUAGGAAUCCUUGCUGCAUGGUGGGGGUUGGAAAGCUUCGGCGGUUUUGUAUGGACUCGCGGCUUAUCCGCUUGUUGGUGGGGUAGUGGCUUACCAAGGCUUUUACGGGUAGCCGGACUGGGAGGGCGACCGGCCACAGUGGGAAGGAGAUACGGACAAGAAGCAUAAGGGAGGCAGAAGUGGGGAAGAUUGAAAAAUGGGAGGAAGCCUGAUGCAGCAACGCCGCGUGCGGGAUGACGGGCUUCGGGUUGUAAACCGAUUUCAGAAGGGGAGAAGCUUGUGGUGACGGUACCUGCAGAAGAAGCACCGGCUAACUACGUG
rnacentral:rRNA from 1 species